CGCAGGACCCCCUGACCAUGCCCACCAUGGCCUGUUCCCCUCUGCUCCUCACCCUGGUCACUCUCUGCACAGGAUCCUGGGCCCAGACUGUGCUGACUCAGCCGCCCUCCUUGUCCGGGUCCCCGGGCCAGAGGGUCACCAUCUCCUGCACCGGAAGAAGCAGCAACAUUGGGAUGUUGGGUGUGAGCUGGUACCAACACCUCCCAGGAUCAGCCCCUAAAACCCUGAUCUAUGGUAGUAACAAGCGACCCUCGGGGGUCCCCGACCGAUCCUCUGGCACCAAGUCUGGCAACACAGGCACCCUGACCAUCACUCCGCUGCAGGCUGAGGACGAGGCUGAUUAUUACUGUGCGUCUGCUAACCUCAGUCUUAUUAGUCCCACAGUGCUCCAGGCCAGGGGGAAGUGA